AUACGGAGGGUGCGAGCGUUAAUCGGAAUUACUGGGCGUAAAGCGUGCGUAGGCGGUUUGUUAAGUCAGAAGUGAAAGCCCUGGGCUCAACCUGGGAACGGCUUUUGAGACUGGCAGACUCGAGUUGAUUAGAGGGGAGUGGAAUUUCCGGUGUAGCGGUGAAAUGCGUAGAGAUCGGAAGGAACACCAGUGGCGAAGGCGACUCCCUGGACUCAAACUGACGCUGAGGUACGAAAGCGUGGGUAGCAAACAGAAUUAGAAACCCUAGUAGUCC
rnacentral:rRNA from 1 species